AACCAGGCAAAAGGCUGCUGUCGGUCGUGUCGACACAAGGUAUCGACGCGGCGCAGGAACCAGUAGUACUACAGAUCACUGCUGCUCCUCUUCUUCUUUUGACUUGUGAAUCUGUGAAUCUGUGCACUUUGGUUUACGCUCUCUGGACAUAGUAGUCCUUCAUCAGUGAGAUACAUUACCUUUGUGGAGAGAGUUCGUGUGACGUCAAAAGCAACUUCCGAGUUUCGACAUGGCCAAGGACUAUUGGAAAUCGAGGAAAUGGAAGUUGUUCCUUUUGUUCAUCGUCUUUAGCGACGUCGGGGCAUUUCCGGGAGCGAGGUCACCUGAGAUCAAGAAACGGGAGAUCUACCGAGAAGGAGUGCUUCCCGCCCAGGGCGGAGUGAUACCGGAGUGGGCCUUCACGAAUCAACGCCUCAAACACAACAUUCACGAUACCCUUGGAAUAGAAGCUCCUGAUGGCUACCUCUUCGUCGUAAGGGAAACGGACAUACGGCCGGGACCUCGUGAUCCUGAGGAUGAACGCGACAUCUUAACCUUGACCAAUCAUAAGCAACAAGGACAAAUCAACUCCAAAGGCGCCAUCCCGGUGCGACCACAGCCUACGACUUACUUACUUCGGCGUCCGACGCUGGAGGACCUCUACCCUUCCGAGUACAUCGCCAACCACCAAGGACCACCUCUCCUGUUCAAGAGCGCAGCUCACCGCGGUUGGCGCUCGCAACCUUAUUCGGAGCAGAUCUUCGUCACGUAUCCAAGGAGUUCAAAAUACUGAACAGUAUCAGUGUUUCUCAACGCAUAAUGUUAGCCAAUCAUUUUUAACACGGUAGUUGUAGACAAACUACUUGUCCCACAGUUUAAUGUUCUGCUCUUUCGGACUGAAUAGAUACAUCCAAAUCUAAGAACAGUGUUU